UACGUAGGGUGCGAGCGUUGUCCGGAAUUAUUGGGCGUAAAGAGCUCGUAGGCGGUCUGUCGCGUCGGCUGUGAAAACCUGGGGCUUAACUCCGGGCCUGCAGCCGAUACGGGCAGACUAGAGUUCGGCAGGGGAGACUGGAAUUCCUGGUGUAGCGGUGAAAUGCGCAGAUAUCAGGAGGAACACCGAUGGCGAAGGCAGCCCCCUGGGCUAACACUGACGCUGAGGCACGAAAGCGUGGGGAGCAAACAGG
rnacentral:rRNA from 1 species